AGCACCGAGCGAGCGGAGGGAGGGAGGGAGAGGAGCGAGCAAAAGUUCGAUAAAAAGGAGAGGAGGAGACGAAGCGUCCAAGCCCAAGUAACAUCCCCACCUCCCCCUUCCUCCCUCCCCCCCCCGGCCGCAUCGAGAUCUUGGCUGCCACCGCCGGAGAUCGCGAGGAGCGGCCCCGCGGCUCCCCCCGAUCCCUCCACCUCCUCCGCCGCCGCCGCCGACGACGACCGCCGAUCGGUGAGUCGCCCGAUCCGCCCCGGCCACCUCCGCUCCGCCCCGCCCCGCACCCCCGGCGCCGAUCGCCGCUGGAUCGGCCGGAUCUGGGGUAGGAGGGGAGGGGAGGACGCGAUGGAGGCCGACUCCGGGAAGCUCUUCGUGGGCGGCAUCUCCUGGGAGACGGACGAGGACCGCCUCCGCGACUACUUUGGCCGCUUCGGGGAGGUCACCGAGGCUGUCAUCAUGCGCGACCGCAACACCGGCCGCGCCCGCGGCUUCGGCUUCAUAGUCUUCGCCGAGGCAGGCGUUGCUGAGCGAGUCACCAUGGACAAGCACAUGAUCGACGGACGCAUGGUCGAAGCAAAGAAGGCUGUUCCCAGGGACGACCAGAGCAUCGCAAGCAAGAACAAUGGCAGCAGCAUAGGCUCGCCUGGCCCAGUCCGUACCAGAAAGAUCUUUGUUGGAGGGCUGGCCUCCAAUGUUACUGAGGUUGAAUUCAGAAGGUAUUUUGAGCAAUUCGGUAUGAUAACAGAUGUGGUUGUCAUGUACGACCACAACACCCAGAGGCCUAGGGGCUUUGGCUUCAUCACCUAUGAUUCAGAAGAUGCAGUGGAUAAGGCGCUGCACAAGAACUUCCAUGAGCUUAAUGGCAAGAUGGUUGAAGUCAAGAGAGCUGUCCCAAAGGAGCAGUCGCCUGGACCUGUCGCACGUUCACCUGCUGGAGGGCAGAACCUUGCUAUCAGCAGGGUUCACAACUUCUUGAAUGGCUUCAACCAGGGAUAUAAUCCAAACCCGAUAGGAGGUUACGGCAUGAGGGUGGAUGGAAGGUUUGGGCUGCUUUCAGGUGCACGAAAUGGGUUUUCUUCAUUUGGGCCCAGUUAUGGAAUGGGCAUGAAUGUUGAAACUGGGAUGAAUGCAAAUUUUGGUGCAAAUUCUAGCUUCCUCAAUAACUCAAAUGGGCGGCAAAUGGGCUCAUACUACAAUGGUGGUUCAAACAGACUAGGUAGCCCUAUUGGGUACGUUGGUCUUAAUGACGAUUCAGGAUCCAUAUUGAGUUCAAUGGGAAGGAAUGUUUGGGGUAAUGGAAAUGUCAACUACCAGAACAGCCCUACAAACAUGAGUUCUUUUGUACCAUCUGGAAGUGGGAGUCAAGUUGGUAUUACUGCCGAUGGUAUCAAUUGGGGAGGUCCUACUUCUGCUCAUGGGAUGGGAAGCAUUUCAAGCCUUGGGUCUAACAUUGGCCGUGGGACUGGAGAUAACUUUGGUUUGCCAUCUGGCGGCUAUGGAAGGAGCAACCCAACUGGCACCAUUGGUGAACCUUUUUCUGCAUCAGCCAAUGCAUAUGAAAUGAACAACAUAGAUACAUAUGGCAACAACUCUAUUUAUGGUGACUCAACCUGGAGGUUCACGUCAUCUGAGAUCGAUAUUCCUCCUUUUGAUAAUGAUCUUGGAAAUAUCGAUCCAGAUAUCAAAUCGAACAUGCCAGCAAGUUACAUGGGCAACUAUACUGUUAAUAAUAAUCAGACAAGCAGAGUGCCAUCCUGAAGUUGAGGGUAAAUGAUAGCAUUGGAGAUGUGUAAUGCAUGUGCCUGAACAAUAUAAAGGGUAUCACUUCCUAGGCGAGAAUAUUAUUAUAGUCAUAUAUAUGACUUGGGAUAGGCAAGACACCCAUUAUAUCAGGUAUUCAGGUGCAGUACUGUGAAUUGGUGAUAUCAGAUUAAUAUACAGGUUAGUUAAUUGUUUCUAGCUAACCAGAGGUGUGGUUUACGGACACCAACCAACAUGCUAGAGGAGCGGGAUACAAACAUUUUGUGAAGGUUUCAGAUUUUAGUUUAAUUUUCUACGUGUACUAGGUCUUUUGGUUUUCCAAUGAGAUGUGCAGUGGUGAUUGCGGCACACACUUAGAAGGUGUUCCAACAUAAGCUGGAAUUCUGUCAUACGGACGACAAACUUGUAUACCAGGGAUGCUGUAUUAUCUUGCCCAUUUAUGGCAACAUUAGCUUGCGUGUUUUUCCUCUUCUCCUUUUUUUAACCAUUUCAUUUGUUACUAGAGAUUUGGUCGGCUUUACUAGUAAAAACUAUUUGGGGGUGCCAAUGCCAUCUUGGUCCCCAUUAAUAAAGUCACCCAAAGUACAUACACUGUUUCAUA